rnacentral:rRNA from 1 species
AAUGUGAUAAGUAAUGUGAAUUGCAGAAUUCAGUGAAUCAUUGAAUCUUUGAACGCACCUUGCACCUUUUGGUUAUUCCAAAAGGUACACCUGUUUGAGUGUCAU